AGGAAGCCUAUAAAGAGGUGGAGGACCUGAAGGAAGUAGAGAAAAAGAAAAAGAGAACAUCCUGAUGACAAUUUAACCCUGGAACUCCCCCCUACUUCAAGGAAACUUCAUUCUUUUGACUUCCAAGGAAAUGUUUAUGAGAAGUUGAAGAAGAUAAUGGCAUUUCUAGAAGUCAAGAUUUGGAAAGUUGCCUACUAAGCAUCUAUGCUAACCUUAAGGACCUCUCUUGCUCUCAGACAUGCUGCUUGUGAUUUU